rnacentral:lncRNA from 1 species
GAGUAGACUCCCCCCCACCAAAAAAAGCAGGAAAAACUGUAAAUGAUUACUGCGUGCGUAAUUUAGUGAACUCUACCUGUAAUGGAUGCCAGACAACUUUGAUGGGAAAUGAAAGCAUGAUCCAGAAGUGCACACAGCAAAGAACUUUUCAAGGAAUUGAAACAGCUGGAUGAAAAUACAAAAAGACUAUGGAUUGCUCCUGAGCAUCUAAGUUUUUGUUGUUGUUGUUUGUUUCUGUGAUACUGGGGAUUAAACCCAGGGACUCACAUAUGGCAGGCAAGAACUCUACCACUGAGCUAAAUCCUCAGCACCAAUUUUUUUUUUUUUUGAAUAUUUGGAAUUGAACUCCAGAGCACUUUACCACUGAACUACAUCCUAGCCCUUAUGUUGAUUUUUGUAAGAAUUUGAAAUCUUUUAUAGAUAUUUUAUCCAUUUUUCUGAUACAUGUUUAAUUUUUCUUGGUGGAUAUCUAAGCAGAUUAUGACAUACCAUCUUUAUCUAUUAAAACUGGAAACAUGAAUACAUUUUCUUAAUCAAACCCAAAUUGCAUCAAUUCUUUUCAUCCAAGUCCCCAAUGGUGGGUUUAUCUCUGAAGUGGACCACCUUUUUUUCCAGUCUUAAUUGAGUUAAAAUUGCC